rnacentral:misc_RNA from 1 species
AUUCCUGAGUGUCCCACACUGC